UGACGGUACCUGACUAAGAAGCUCCGGCUAAAUACGUGCCAGCAGCCGCGGUAAUACGUAUGGAGCAAGCGUUAUCCGGAUUUACUGGGUGUAAAGGGUGUGUAGGCGGCAUGGCAAGUCAGAAGUGAAAGACCGGGGCUCAACCCCGGGGCUGCUUUUGAAACUGUCGUGCUUGAGUCCAGGAGGGGCAAGCGGAAUUCCUAGUGUAGCGGUGAAAUGCGUAGAUAUUAGGAAGAACACCGGUGGCGAAGGCGGCUUACUGGACGGUAACUGACGUUGAGGCUCGAAAGCGUGGGGAGCAAACAGGAUUAGAUACCCUG
rnacentral:rRNA from 1 species